rnacentral:rRNA from 1 species
CCAGACUCCUACGGGAGGCAGCAGUGAGGAAUAUUGGUCAAUGGGCGGAAGCCUGAACCAGCCAAGUCGCGUGAGGGAAUAAGGCCCUACGGGUCGUAAACCUCUUUUGCCGGGGAGCAAGGGCGGGGACGUGUCCCGGCCCGGAGAGUACCCGGAGAAAAAGCAUCGGCUAACUCCGUGCCAGCAGCCGCGGUAAUACGGAGGAUGCGAGCGUUAUCCGGAUUUAUUGGGUUUAAAGGGUGCGCAGGCGGAUUUUUAAGUCAGCGGUCAAAUCGUGGGGCUCAACCCCAUCCAGCCGUUGAAACUGGGGAUCUAGAGUGUGCGAGAGGUAUGCGGAAUGCGUGGUGUAGCGGUGAAAUGCAUAGAUAUCACGCAGAACCCCGAUUGCGAAGGCAGCAUACCGGUGCACAACUGACGCUCAGGCACGAAAGCGUGGGUAUCGAACAGGAUUAGAUACCCGAGUA